CAGAAUUGCACAUCAGAACACCAUGUGAAUCAGUGGAUGUUAAAGAGUUAAUGUUCUGGUUCCGUUUACUGCCUCCUAUGGGCGUUUUGAGUGUUCUGGUGGGAGGGGAGGGGUAGCUUCCCCGGAGGACUUGGCGCCAAGGGCGAGUGAGGUGGAGCUGCGGGCGGGACGCUGGCCGUCUCUCCCCCCUUCCAGGCCGGCUCAGCUCGCUGCGGAGAAAGGCACGUGCUUCGCUCGGACUUCGGAAUUCAGAGAUAACAGGGAAAACAGUCCUCCAGAAGACAACAAGAACAUUUCUGCUUCUCCCUCCACACACCCCCCUUCAAAUAUAAGUAGAUCCAUGUGUGAAGAAAAGAGAAAGUUCCUGGAGAAGAACAAAUAAAGUUUUAUUGCUAUGUAAGUACAAGAAUCCGGACUGUAUUGUUGAAGAAAUAUCUUUAUGAAAUGUCUUCUAGCUGGAUCUUUUAAGCUUAAUCUUUUAAAGCUUCUUCUUUUCAAAGAUGGUUCUUCCCUUUAAUGCUGGAUUUUGUUUUAAUAAUGCUGGAUUUAAUUUUUAUCAUGAAGUAAAAUGAUA
ensembl:lncRNA